AUCCUGGCUCAGGAUGAACGCUAGCGGCAGGCUUAACACAUGCAAGUCAGGGGUAUCACGCUUUCGGGCGUGAGAGACCGGCGCACGGGUGCGUAACGCGUAUACAAUCUACCUUUUACAGAGGGAUAGCCCAGAGAAAUUUGGAUUAAUACCUCAUAGUAUUUUCGAAUGGCAUCAUUUGAUUAUUAAAGUUCCAACGGUAAAAGAUGAGUAUGCGUCCCAUUAGCUAGAUGGUAAGGUAACGGCUUACCAUGGCAACGAUGGGUAGGGGUCCUGAGAGGGAGAUCCCCCACACUGGUACUGAGACACGGACCAGACUCCUACGGGAGGCAGCAGUGAGGAAUAUUGGACAAUGGGCGCAAGCCUGAUCCAGCCAUGCCGCGUGCAGGAAGACGGUCCUAUGGAUUGUAAACUGCUUUUAUACAGGAAGAAACACCUCUACGUGUAGAGACUUGACGGUACUGUAUGAAUAAGCAUCGGCUAACUCCGUG
rnacentral:rRNA from 1 species